rnacentral:lncRNA from 1 species
UAUUUGCAGAUUUGGGCAAAGCAUGUGCAGUCUCAGUAGCAGAACAGAUCUUGAGAAACAGAAAGUCAGGUAAAUAUUUGCGUAAGCAUCAUGUGGUUAGUAGUCGUACAGAAGUCUAACUGGUGAGUUACGUCUCAUCCAGUCAAACAGUUGAUACAUUAGUCCUCCUCUUCAGAAGCUGUAGGUUGCUGUGAUCCAGCUAUAAAUUGCCCCUCAUACUGGACGUAUCUCUCCUCUGAUAUACGUUGUACUUACUUCAGAUUAGAGGGAUGAUUUUAUGUAAGUAGAAUUUAAUGAACUGUAUUCUAAUUUAGCAGAUUUUUUCUUCAAACAUUUUAUCUGAAUUUUAGUCACAAAUGAUGUGCCAAGUAGAUUGAUAGCUUAUCUUUGCAGUUAUCAAACCCAGGCACUGUUUCACACAGCUGGAAAAGAACUGCUCUGUUCUGAUGAUUAAUUUUUACAGCUGUUGUUAUUAGUGAGAAGUCCUGAAGUAUUUGAUGUAGCCAUAGAAACUAGAAUAAAGAAGAGGGAGCAGGUGUCAUGUGCCAGCAGUGCAGGCUUCCCUUUGUCCAGGAAUGGCCUGCAUUGCUCCUUACCUCUGUUCUCAUUACAGAAGGCUGAAGGGGCAUCUUUAAUUUUCAAGCUGCAAGGGGAAAAGCAACAGCAUCAGAAAGAGAAGAUGGAAAUGGUGGUCCCAGUGACUCAUCUUGAGGGAGGAGGUAGCAAAGGAAAUGGCUGCAAUGCUUUCUCCCAAUUGCUUAUUAUUAUUCAUUAACAUCAUUUUCUUCCUACUUUCCUCAGCGGUACUUCAAUAUGACAAGGAAGCCUUGAGCUGUGUCCUUGAAAGAUGAGAACUUGCUCAUACUUUAAUGACUGAGCAAAUGUGACAGACCCUGGUGAUAAUUUCUUGCUAUUGAAAGGAAUAUGGCAUUUAUAGUGUUGCUGCCAACAGAUGAUGCUGUCUCCCACAUCCAUGCAGGGUACACGUGUGUUUAUUGCAGCACUGCUGUCUGUAUAAGGUUAACCAUAUCUGCCGUAUUCUGCCUUGCAGAAAACAGGAGGAGGCACUGUAAGGACAUCUGCUGGAGCACCUCGUGCUGGCCUUUGCUGUGCAAUGGUGGAUGUUGUGACAGAGAUAACUUUGCAGCCUGUAAGGGAGGAGGAUCCUCUCCAAGUAUCUCAGCAGGCCUUAUAGGCUGGAAACGGAGUCAUUUGCUCCAGAGUCAUUAGGGCUGUGCUUCCACCUCCAUGCACCCACGGUGAGGACAGGGAGCAGAGGCACAUGCUUAAUGGUUUCAAUACAGGGGAAACAGAAGGAAGCCUGUUUUACUCCACUUCAUGUAAUAAUUCCUAUACUGCAAGAAAACAAUUAAUUAAAAAAAUAAGUUACCUGGCAAAAUUGUAAUGUUUUCUAUCAAAGGAUUGAUUCUAAAAUAAAUACCACACAUGUGGCGUGCUGGACAUUACACAGCACUUGUACAUCAAAGUAAUCCAAAGCUUAAUGGCCAUACCCGGAGGCAUGCAGAAUGCACC